rnacentral:rRNA from 1 species
CCUACGGGUUGCAGCAGUGGGGAAUAUUGCACAAUGGGCGCAAGCCUGAUGCAGCCAUGCCGCGUGUAUGAAGAAGGCCUUCGGGUUGUAAAGCACUUUUAGCGAGGAGGAAGGUGGUGAGCUUAAUACGCUCAUCAAUUGACGUUACUCGCAGAAGAAGCACCGGCUAACUCCGUGCCAGCAGCCGCGGUAAUACGGAGGGUGCAAGCGUUAAUCGGAAUUACUGGGCGUAAAGCGCACGCAGGCGGUUUGUUAAGUCAGAUGUGAAAUCCCCGGGCUCAACCUGGGAACUGCAUUUGAAACUGGCAAGCUAGAGUCUCGUAGAGGGGGGUAGAAUUCCAGGUGUAGCGGUGAAAUGCGUAGAGAUCUGGAGGAAUACCGGUGGCGAAGGCGGCUCCCUGGACGAAGACUGACGCUCAGGUGCGAAAGCGUGGGGAGCAAACGGGAUUAGAUACCCGUGUAGUC